UACGGGGGGGGCAAGCGUUGUUCGGAAUUACUGGGCGUAAAGGGCUCGUAGGCGGCCAACUAAGUCAGACGUGAAAUCCCUCGGCUUAACCGGGGAACUGCGUCUGAUACUGGACGGCUUGAGAUUGGGAGAGGGAUGCGGAAUUCCAGGUGUAGCGGUGAAAUGCGUAGAUAUCUGGAGGAACACCGGUGGCGAAGGCGGCAUCCUGGACCAACACUGACGCUGAUGAGCGAAAGCCAGGGGAGCAAACGGG
rnacentral:rRNA from 1 species